UACGGGGGGAGCAAGCGUUGUUCGGAUUUACUGGGCGUAAAGGGCGCGUAGGCGGUCAGUGCAAGUCAGUUGUGAAAUCUCCGGGCUUAACUCGGAAAGGUCAACUGAUACUGCUCGACUAGAGUGCGGAAGGGGCAACUGGAAUUCUUGGUGUAGCGGUGAAAUGCGUAGAUAUCAAGAGGAACACCUGAGGUGAAGACGGGUUGCUGGGCUGACACGUGACGCUGAGUGCGCGAAAGCUAGGGUAGCAAACGGG
rnacentral:rRNA from 1 species